UCCCUGGAGGACUAAUGAUUAGGCCACAGCGUUCUCACUGCUGCCGCCUGGGUUCGAUUCCCAGCCAGGGCU